UGCCCAGCAACUCCUAUCCCUACCUCCUCGCGGUACUGGCCGGGGUACGAGUAAACUUAGGAAAGAUCGGGUAACCAACCCCCGGUGGGAACUUUGGUCGUAUGCUGACAGGGAAGG
rnacentral:ribozyme from 1 species